UACGUAGGGUGCGAGCGUUAAUCGGAAUUACUGGGCGUAAAGCGUGCGCAGGCGGUUUGUUAAGACAGAUGUGAAAUCCCCGGGCUUAACCUGGGAACUGCAUUUGUGACUGGCAAGCUAGAGUAUGGCAGAGGGGGGUAGAAUUCCACGUGUAGCAGUGAAAUGCGUAGAGAUGUGGAGGAAUACCGAUGGCGAAGGCAGCCCCCUGGGCCAAUACUGACGCUCAUGCACGAAAGCGUGGGAGCAAACAGG
rnacentral:rRNA from 1 species